rnacentral:rRNA from 1 species
CAAUAGCGUAUAUUAAAGUUGUUGCAGUUAAAAAGCUCGUAGUUGGAUUUGUGGCGUACGGUGUGUUCCGGGCACUUGUUGUCUGAGUAACCUGCUGUUGCCAUCCUUGGGUGGAACCUGUGUGGCAUUAGGUUGUCGUGCAGGGGAUGCCCAUCAUUUACUGUGAAAAAAUUAGAGUGUUCAAAGCAGGCUUAUGCCGUUGAAUAUAUUAGCAUGGAAUAAUGAGAUAGGACUUUUUUGCUAUUUUGUUGGUUUGCGCAAAGAGGUAAUGAUUAAUAGGGACAGUUGGGGGUAUUCGUAUUCCAUAGUCAGAGGUGAAAUUCUUGGAUUUUUGGAAGACGAACUGCUGCGAAAGCAUUUACCAAGGAUGUUUUCAUUAA